rnacentral:tRNA from 2 species
GACACUGUAGCUCAGCCAGGUCAGAGCAGCGGAUCUUCUUCCGUUCGGCGUGGGUUCAAAUCCCACCUGUGUCGCCA